ACGUAGGGAGCGAGCGUUGUCCGAAUUUACUGGGCGUAAAGCGCGCGUAGGCGGGCUAUUAAGUUGGGGGUGAAAUGCCGAGGCUUAACCUCGGAACUGCCUCCAAAACUGGUAGCCUUGAGGUAUGGAGAGGGAAGUGGAAUUCCAGGUGGAGGGGUCCAAUGCUUUGUUAUCUGGAGGAGGACCGGUGGCGAGGGCGGCGUCCUGGCCAUAUCCUGACGCUGAGGUGCGAAAGCUAGGGGAACGUGCGG
rnacentral:rRNA from 1 species